UCUUACGACCCCAACCGGCCUGAGUACGCCUGAUCUCGUCUGAUCUCAGAAGCUAAGCAGGGUCGGGCCUGGUUAGUACUUUGGAUGGGAGACCGCCUGGGAAUACCAGGUUGCUGUAAGCU
rnacentral:rRNA from 1 species